rnacentral:rRNA from 1 species
UGGGGAAUAUUGGACAAUGGGGGCAACCCUGAUCCAGCAAUGCCGCGUGUGUGAAGAAGGUCUUCGGAUUGUAAAGCACUUUCGACGGGGACGAUGAUGACGGUACCCGUAGAAGAAGCCCCGGCUAACUUCGUGCCAGCAGCCGCGGUAAUACGAAGGGGGCUAGCGUUGCUCGGAAUGACUGGGCGUAAAGGGCGUGUAGGCGGUUUACACAGUCAGAUGU